rnacentral:rRNA from 1 species
GACGAACGCUGGCGGCGUGCCUAAUACAUGCAAGUCGAACGCAAAACUUUCACCGAAUGCUCGCAUUCACGAAAGUUUUGAGUGGCGAACGGGUGAGUAACACGUGGGUAACCUGCCCAGAAGAGGGGGAUAACACUUGGAAACAGGUGCUAAUACCUCAUAAUAACAAAAACCGCAUGGUUUUUGUUUGAAAGAUGGUUUUGCUAUCACUUCUGGAUGGACCCGCGGCGUAUUAGCUAGUUGGUAAGGUAAAGGCUUACCAAGGCAAUGAUACGUAGCCGAACUGAGAGGUUGAUCGGCCACAUUGGGACUGAGACACGGCCCAAACUCCUACGGGAGGCAGCAGUAGGGAAUCUUCCACAAUGGACGAAAGUCUGAUGGAGCAACGCCGCGUGAGUGAAGAAGGUUUUCGGAUCGUAAAACUCUGUUGUUAGAGAAGAACGUGUGUGAGAGUAACUGCUCAUGCAGUGACGGUAUCUAACCAGAAAGCCACGGCUAACUACGUGCCAGCCGCCGCGGUAA